rnacentral:rRNA from 1 species
CAGCGCCACGAGUGGCAAUCACGAUUAUUGGGCCUAAAGCGUCCGUAGCCGGUUCGGUAAAUCCUUUGUGAAAUCGCCAGGCUUAACCUGGCGGCGUGCAGGGGACACUGCCGAACUCGAGACCGGGAGGAGUCAGAAGUAUUUUGGGGGGAGCGGUAAAAUGCUAUAAUCCCUGAAAGACUACCUAUGGCGAAGGCAUCUGACUAGAACGGAUCUGACGGUGAGGGACGAAAGCCAGGGGAGCGAACCGGAUUAGAUACCCGAGUAGUCC